rnacentral:rRNA from 1 species
CCUACGGGACGCACCAGUGGGGAAUCUUGGACAAUGGGCGAAAGCCCGAUCCAGCAAUAUCGCGUGAGUGAAGAAGGGCAAUGCCGCUUGUAAAGCUCUUCCGUCGAGAGCGCGAUCAUGACAGGACUCGAGGAAGAAGCCCCGGCUAACUCCGUGCCAGCAGCCGCGGUAAGACGGGGGGGCAAGUGUUCUUCGGAAUGACUGGGCGUAAAGGGCGCGUAGGCGGUGAAUCGGGUUGGAAGUGAAAGUCGCCAAAAACUGGCGGAAGACUCUCGAAACCAAUUCACUUGAGUGAGACAGAGGAGAGUGGAAUUUCGUGUGUAGGGAUGAAAUCCGGAGAUCUACGAAGGAACGCCAAAAGCGAAGGCAGCUCUCUGGGUCCCUACCGACGCUGGAGUGCGAAAGCAUGGGGAGCGAACGGGAUUAGAUACCCUCGUAGUC